rnacentral:rRNA from 1 species
AGAGUUUGAUCCUGGCUCAGGAUGAACGCUAGCUACAGGCUUAACACAUGCAAGUCGAGGGGAAACGACAUCGAAAGCUUGCUUUUGAUGGGCGUCGACCGGCGCACGGGUGAGUAACGCGUAUCCAACCUGCCCACCACUUGGGGAUAACCUUGCGAAAGUAAGACUAAUACCCAAUGACGUCUCUAGAAGACAUCUGAAAGAGAUUAAAGAUUUAUCGGUGAUGGAUGGGGAUGCGUCUGAUUAGCUUGUUGGCGGGGUAACGGCCGCCAAGGCUACGAUCAGUAGGGGUUCUGAGGGGAAGUCCCCCANAUUGGAACUGAGACACGGUCCAAACUCCUACGGGAGCA